AGCACUGUAGUAUCAUGGUUAGGAAGCUGGUCUUGUAAGUCAGAGGGUUGUAGGUUCAAAUCCCACCAAGGGUGCUA